rnacentral:lncRNA from 1 species
GCCUUAGGAGUGUGCCAGACAGAGACAAGACCCAUCAUGAGGCAGAAAAGAAAGGAGAGCACCUUGGGCUCUGAGCCAAGAGAAGGUCUCUCAGAGGGCUAAUUAGACUGAAGAGCAGUCAAGAUGGAACAUAGUAAGUAGUAAGUCAGAGUUAUUGCUGGGAGGUAGAUUGUAACAGCAUGGAGAUUAGGCAGUUGCCCAGCUAUUGUGCUGUUUAAGGCAUAUUAAAAUAUAAAGGCUG